rnacentral:rRNA from 1 species
UACGAAGGGGGCUAGCGUUGUCCGGAAUUAUUGGGCGUAAAGAGCGUGUAGGCGGUCAGGUAGGUCCGUUGUGAAAACUCGAGGCUCAACCUCGAGACGCCGAUGGAAACCAUCUGACUAGAGUCCGGAAGAGGAGAGUGGAAUUCCUGGUGUAGCGGUGAAAUGCGCAGAUAUCAGGAAGAACACCCGUGGCUAAGGCGGCUCUCUAGUACGGUACUGACGCUGAGACGCGAAAGCGUGGGGAGCGAACAGG